UAGGGAAUCUUCCACAAUGGGCGCAAGCCUGAUGGAGCAACGCCGCGUGAGUGAAGAAGGUCUUCGGAUCGUAAAACUCUGUUGUUAGAGAAGAACACGAGUGAGAGUAACUGUUCAUUCGAUGACGGUAUCUAACCAGCAAGUCACGGCUAACUACGUGCCGG
rnacentral:rRNA from 1 species